rnacentral:rRNA from 1 species
UACGGAGGGUGCGAGCGUUGUCCGGAAUCACUGGGCGUAAAGGGCGCGUAGGCGGCCUGGUAAGUAGGGGGUGAAAUCCUGCGGCUUAACCGCAGGGCUGCCUUCUAAACUGUCAGGCUCGAGCACGGUAGAGGCAGAUGGAAUUCCCGGUGUAGCGGUGGAAUGCGUAGAGAUCGGGAAGAACAUCAGUGGCGAAGGCGGUCUGCUGGGCCGUUGCUGACGCUGAGGCGCGACAGCGUGGGGAGCAAACAGGAU